rnacentral:pre_miRNA from 1 species
AAAGUACUCCCUCCGUCCCAAAAUUCUUGUCUUAGAUUUGUCUAGAUACGGAUGUAUCAAGUCACAUUUUAGUAUUAGAUACAUCCNAUACAUCCGUAUCUAGACAAAUCUAAGACAAGAAAUUUGGGACAGAGGGAGUAGUUG